rnacentral:rRNA from 1 species
AAUACAUGCUGACGAGUGGCAGACGGGUGAGGAACACGUACGCAACCUCCCUCAAACCGGGGCACAACCUUGAGAAAUCAGGGCUAAUUCCCCAUAACAUUGCGAAAGGGCAUCUGAUUGCAAUUAAAGAUUUAUCAGUUUGAGAUGGGCGUGCGUUCGAUUAGCUAGUUGGUAGGGUAACGGCUUACCAAGGCAACGAUCGAUAGCUGGUGUGAGAGCACGACCAGCCACACGGGCACUGAGAUACGGGCCCGACUCCUACGGGAGGCAGCAGUAAGGAAUAUUGGUCAAUGGACGAAAGUCUGAACCAGCCAUGCCGCGUGAGGGAUGAAGGUCCUCUGGAUUGUAAACCUCUUUUAUCUGUGAAUAAACGUCCUUUUUCUAAGGGAUUUGAAGGUAAUAGAUGAAUAAGCACCGGCUAACUCCGUGCCAGCAGCCCGCGGUAAUACCGAGGGUGCAAGCGUUAUCCGGAUUUACUGGGUUUAAAGGGUGCGUAAGUGGGUUGGGAAGUCAGUGGUGAAAUACUUUCGCUUAACGAAGGAACUGCCAUUGAUACUAUCAAUCUUGAAUGUAGUGGAGGUAGGCGGAAU